AGAAGAAGGGCAUCUGGUGGAUCCGGGGCAAGUUGUUUGACCAGUUGAGAUAACUCAGACUGAGGUUGAGUCUGAACCAGUGCACUUGUGGAGUGUUGUCCGGUAAACUACUGAGGUUUAUUGUGAACGAAGGAGGAAUCGAGGUUGGAAAAAAAAAAACAAAAAAAAACAAAAAAAAAGAGGAAAAAGAAAGAAAGAGAAGAAAGAGCAAUACAUAAAAUGCUUGAAC
rnacentral:lncRNA from 1 species